GAUGAACGCUGGCGGCGUGCCUAAUACAUGCAAGUCGAGCGAACGGACGAGAAGCUUGCUUCUCUGAUGUUAGCGGCGGACGGGUGAGUAACACGUGGAUAACCUACCUAUAAGACUGGGAUAACUUCGGGAAACCGGAGCUAAUACCGGAUAAUAUUUUGAACCGCAUGGUUCAAAAGUGAAAGACGGUCUUGCUGUCACUUAUAGAUGGAUCCGCGCUGCAUUAGCUAGUUGGUAAGGUAACGGCUUACCAAGGCAACGAUGCAUAGCCGACCUGAGAGGGUGAUCGGCCACACUGGAACUGAGACACGGUCCAGACUCCUACGGGAGGCAGCAGUAGGGAAUCUUCCGCAAUGGGCGAAAGCCUGGCGGAGCAACGCCGCGUGAGUGAUGAAGGUCUUCGGAUCGUAAAACUCUGUUAUUAGGGAAGAACAUAUGUGUAAGUAACUGUGCACAUCUUGACGGUACCUAAUCAGAAAGCCACGGCUAACUACGUGCCAGCAGCCGCGGUAAUACGUAGGUGGCAAGCGUUAUCCGGAAUUAUUGGGCGUAAAGCGCGCGUAGGCGGUUUUUUAAGUCUGAUGUGAAAGCCCGCGGCUCAACCGUGGAGGGUCAUUGGAAACUGGAAAACUUGAGUGCAGAAGAGGAAAGUGGAAUUCCAUGUGUAGCGGUGAAAUGCGCAGAGAUAUGGAGGAACACCAGUGGCGAAGGCGACUUUCUGGUCUGUAACUGACGCUGAUGUGCGAAAGCGUGGGGAUCAAACAGGAUUAGAUACCCUGGUAGUCCACGCCGUAAACGAUGAGUGCUAAGUGUUAGGGGGUUUCCGCCCCUUAGUGCUGCAGCUAACGCAUUAAGCACUCCGCCUGGGGAGUACGACCGCAAGGUUGAAACUCAAAGGAAUUGACGGGGACCCGCACAAGCGGUGGAGCAUGUGGUUUAAUUCGAAGCAACGCGAAGAACCUUACCAAAUCUUGACAUCCUUUGACAACUCUAGAGAUAGAGCUUUCCCCUUCGGGGGACAAAGUGACAGGUGGUGCAUGGUUGUCGUCAGCUCGUGUCGUGAGAUGUUGGGUUAAGUCCCGCAACGAGCGCAACCCUUAAGCUUAGUUGCCAUCAUUAAGUUGGGCACUCUAAGUUGACUGCCGGUGACAAACCGGAGGAAGGUGGGGAUGACGUCAAAUCAUCAUGCCCCUUAUAAUUUGGGCUACACACGUGCUACAAUGGACAAUACAAAGGGCAGCGAAACCGUGAGGUCAAGCAAAUCCCAUAAAGUUGUUCUCAGUUCGGAUUGUAGUCUGCAACUCGACUACAUGAAGCUGGAAUCGCUAGUAAUCGUAGAUCAGCAUGCUACGGUGAAUACGUUCCCGGGUCU
rnacentral:rRNA from 1 species